rnacentral:rRNA from 1 species
UACGUACGAGGCAAGCGUUAUCCGGAAUUACUGGGCGUAAAGCGCGCGCAGGUGGCGAAGUAAGUGAGACGUGAAAUCUCCCGGCCUAACUGGGAGGGGUCGUUUCAUACUGCUUGACUUGAGGACUGCAGAGGUGGGUGGAAUUCCUGGUGUAGUGGUGAAAUGCGUAGAGGAGUCAGGAGGAACGACCGGUGGCGGAAGGCGGCCCACUGGGCGAGUCACUGACGCUGGAGGCGCGGAAAGCUCGGGGGAGCGAACGGG